rnacentral:lncRNA from 1 species
CACAGCCCAGUCUUCAAACCCAUCACACAAAGAAACACACAGCACAGCAGCUGCAGAUCACAUCCUGCCAAUUCCUUGGAUUUUAAGGCUCAGCCCAAGACCAACCAUGAACAGGGGAAAGGACGUAGGGCAUUCUGCUUAUUGUUGGUUUUUUUCCCCUCUAGUUCUUACAGAGCUUUACAGGUGGGAGGAAUGACAUAAACAAAGACCAGUGUGGGAAAAUCCAAUGCAUCCUGAGCCUUAAACAUGCAUGUACUUUCUCUGCUGUACCUGUUCUGAGUUCUCAGGGUACAGCUGCAGUACGGCUCGGGAUCCUCGGGCCAAGGCAGUAUAAAGAGUUGAAAAGAACCGAUAAAGGCGUUUUGGAGGACUAUGUGACUUCUUGUCAGCGUUACAAAGCCACUGCACUGCAGAAAUACUGAUGCAGCCAUCAAACGUUCCAGGCCUGAAGGGAAUGCCAUCGCCCAUAUCUGCGAGGAGCAGGUCUCCUUCAACCUCCCUCUCCACAGCCACAUCCAGCAUGGCGCGGCUGAUGUCCACCCCGAUCCAGCAGUGCCCCUCCUCGGAGAUGUGCUCCCCGCUCAGUCCGGAGCCGCAGCCCACGUCCAGGAGGAGGCACGGCCGCCCCUCGGGCAGCGCCAGCAACUCCACGGCCCGCGCCGCCAUCUGCGCCUGGAUCUCGGCCACGCGGGAGUUCUGAGUGUAUUUCCGCGCCUCCGUCUCAUCGUAGAACAGUUCGGGGGGCCCGCGGUGCUCCGGCCGCCGCCCGCUGCUCGCCAUGCUGUGCGAUGAC